GUCCUCACAUGCAGCUCAUGACGUACCUUUAUUUCUAACACAUUUUCCCAACUAUAUAAUCCUAAUACAUGAAGCUGUCACUAAAACCCAGAGCUCCGGCUCGGUGGGACUUCAGGGUCACUACGACUUUACUUUUGCCCUCUGCUUCAGAGUUGGUUUUUUGGGGGGAGAUUUUUUUUCCUCGGAUGUAUUUUGGGGGGAUUUUUUUUCUUCCUGAUUUAAAAAUUGCGGGAAAUUCAAUUUCUUAUUUUGCUCUCCAAAAACUUUUUCUCAGUUAUAGGACAUGCCUUACCAAAUUUUCGUAACUCCCAGGGUGUUCCUUUCCAGUCCAAUCUAUCCGUUUGGGUAACAGCUGGAAACGGAAAACAUUGUUAUUCGACUCGGGUUGAAUUCUAGGAAGGUCAAGGAUGCAGGUCUACAUUGGGAUGCACAUUCAAAAACCAGUUCACACACUCCAGACGAUUUAGAGAUGCUAAUCAGCCUACAAUGCUUGUUUUUGGACUCAGCGAGGAAACUGGAGAACCCAGAGAAAACCCUCGACGCACUGGGAGAACGUGGAAACUUCACACGCUUAUGGCAGAGGCAUGCUGAUUUCUGAUCCUGUAAAAUUUCUAAUCUGCUCUAGCUCCAGUUAGAACGUAUGAUUUCGUUGUUUACGAGACCACCUAUGUCACCUAUGUGAUCUCAAUGACAUGACAGAUAACGAUGAACACGAUCAUGCAUGUUGUAGGUUAUUAAUGUUCCGUGUUACACAAUAACAACAACUUCAAACUGAACGUUACAUGUUUAUUUAUGGAAAGUAUGGUGCAAUUUACACACCGCUAAUUGGUCUCGUAAACACUGAUUUAUAUCACAGGUAAAUCAGAUGCCAGCUUAAGAAGGACAAGGGAAUAGGAGAAGAAGGAGAAGAAAAAGAAGAAUGUUUAUAAGUAAGUGCAUUCUACAAACCACUAAUUGGUCUCGUAAACACUUUGAUUUAUAUCAUAGACAAGUCAGAUGCCAGCUUAGGAAGAACAAAGAAGAAGGAGAUGAAGAAAAAAAGAUGAUGAAGAAAAAGAUAAGAAGAAGAAGAAUAUUAAGAAGAAAAAGAUGAUGAAUGAUAAUAAUAAUAAUAAGAAGAAAAAGAUGAGGAAGAAGAAGAUAAAGAAAAAGAGGGAGUAGAAGAAGAAGAAAAAGAUGAAGAGGAGGGAGAGGAAGAAAAAGAAAAAGCUGAUGAAGAAGAAGAACAAAAAGAUGUAGAUAAUAAAGAAGAAAAAGGUGAUGAUGAAGAAGAAGUAAAAGAUAAAGAAGAAGAAAAACAUGAUGAUGCUGCUGAUGAUGAUGAUGAAGAAGAAGAGGAAGAAGAAGAAAAAGAUGAUGAAGAAUAAUAAUAAUAAGAAGAAAAAGAUGAAGAAGAAGAAAAAGAUAAUGAAGAUGAUGAAGAAGAAAAAGAGGAAGAACAUAAAGAAGAAGAAGAUGAGGAGGAAGAAGAAGAAGAAAAAGAUGAAGAAGAAGAUGAGGAAGAAGAUGAAGGAGAGGAAGAAAAGAUGAAGAUAAAGAAGAAGAUGAGGAAGAAAAAGAAGAAGAAGAUGAAGGAGAGGAAGAAAAGAUGAAGAUAAAGAAGAAGAUGAGGAAGAAAAAGAAGAAGAAAAAGAUAAAGAAGAAUAUGAGGAAGAAGAAGAAGAUAAAGAAGAAGAUGAGGAAGAAAAAGAAGAAGAAAAAGAUAAAGAAGAAUAUGAGGAAGAAGAAGAAGAUAAAGAAGAAAAAGAUGAAGAAGAUAUAGCGUAAAAAGAUGCAGAAGAUAAAGAAGAAGAUGAGUAAGAAGAAGAAGAUAAAGAAGAAAAAGAUGAAGAAGAUAUAGAGUAAAAAGAUGCAGAAGAUAAAGAAGAAGAUGAGUAAGAAGAAGAAGAUAAAGAAGAAAAAGAUGAAGAAGAUAUAGAGUAAAAAGAUGCAGAAGAUAAAGAAGAAGAUGAGUAAGAAGAAGAAGAUAAAGAAGAAAAAGAUAAAGAAGAAGAUAAGGAAGAAAAAGAAGAAGGAAAAGAUGAUGAAGAAGAAUAAAAAGAUGCAGAAGAUAAAGAAGAAGAUGAGUAAGAAGAAGAAGAUAAAGAAGAAAAAGAUAAAGAAGAAGAUAAGGAAGAAAAAGAAGAAGAAAAAGAUGAUGAAGAAGAAGAAAAAGAUGAAGAAGAUAAAGAAGAAAAAGAUGAAGAAGAUAAAGAAAAAGAUAAGGAAGAAAAAGAAGAAGAAAAAGAUGAAGAAGAAAAAGAUGAAGAUAAAGAAGAUGAAGAAGAAGUUGAGCAAGAAAAAGAUGAAGAAAAUGAAAAAGAAAAAGAUAAGGAAGAAAAAGAAGAAGAAGAAGAAAAAGAUGAAGAAGAUAAAGAAGAAGAAGAAGAAUGUUUAUGAGUAAUCCUACACUCUCCUCCUCAGAUACUCUAUUGAAGAAGCUGAAGGUAUAGAAACAUUUACUCUUACUGUGUAUUCAGUAUAAUCUCUUAUUAACAGAACAUCAUAUAAAAGCAGAGUCACUCUCACAGUCCUGCUGCAGUACUGAACAUCAGCAUGGCCAUGAUUACCUGCGACUGAUACAAACACCAUGACUGCAUGUGUGAUUAAAUAUAACCUGCCUGAAGUGUUCUUCUCAGCAGGAGCCGGAGAGCGUCUUCGGCUGGCUAGGAUCGGAUCGGAUCGGAUCGGAUUGGAUGUGGCUUAGCAAGGAGUAGAAGAUUCACGCAGUCACUCUGAGAGCAUCUGUGAGAUGAAACAUCUCAGCUGUCAGAUAAUAAUUUGUAAAUGGAAGUUAAAUAUGCAGUAAAUGCAGUAAAUCUGUGUAACGUUCAUAUACCCGGCAAAAAACAAGCUUCUUAAAACUUUCUGUAUAGUAGACUAUAUUCUGCCAUCAUAUUAUCUGACAUGUGGAGAUACCCAGGAGUCCAAAAUAAAUAUGUAAUUAAUUAAAUAUAGCUGGCCAUGAACACUCACCAAAGACACUUUCUCUGUUGCCUACAUACACUAUAUUUCCAAACGUUUUAGGACAUCUGCCUUUACAUGCACAUGAAUGUAAUAUGGAGUUGUCCCGCGCUUUACAGCUAUAACAGCUUCAACUCUUCUGGGAAGGCUUUCCACAAGGUUUAGGAGUGUGUUUAUGGGAAUCUUUGACCAGCGCAUUUGUGAGGUCAGACACUGAUGUUGGAUGAGAAGGUCUGGCUCACAGUCUCUGCUCUAAUUCAUCCUAAAGGUGUUCUAUCAGGACUCUGUGCAAGUUCCUCCACACCAAACUCACUCAUCCAUGUCUUUAUGGACCUUGCUUUGGUCACUGGUGUGCAGUCAUGUUGGAACAGGAAGGGGUCAGCCACAAACUGUUCCCACAAUUUCAUGGAAGCAUGAAAUUUUUCAAAAUGUCUUGGUAUGAAGCUGAAGCACUUUCACUGGAACUAAUGGGCGAAGUCCAACCCCUGAAAAACAACACCUGAAUUCAAUGAUUUAGGGGGGUGUCCCAAAACUUUUGGCAAUGUAGUGUACUUUGUAAGUAGCUAAACCUUCUCACUUUACUUAGAAACAUCUCUCUACAGUUCUAAAGCUCAUUUCUGACUUCUUGUCCGAUUUCAAGUGUAAUUCAGGUAGUUCAUAACUGCAUGUGACGUGUGUGUGUGUGUGUGUGUGUGAAACCAGGCCUGUUUUACUGCAACAGAAGGAAAGCUCUUAUUUCGUUUUUGCUUCUGCUCUUCGUGUCUGAGUCUCUCAGAUGUAAACGCAUCUUGCUCAGACUCUGAACUGAGUUUCACUCCUGAUAUAAGUAUUACCGCAUUCUUUUGUGAAGUUCAGUCUGACUCACAGUGGUGGUGAGCAGUUCGAGACAGGACUGUUAUGAGACAUGAUAACAUACAGGGAGCUCUCGAAUGAUUUUAACGGACUGUACGCUCUCAGACAAAAAGCCACCAAGCUUUAUCGUUCCUAGCUGCUUUAUUAUUUGUUCCUUUUAGUACGUAUCUCUCACCUGGAAAAGGUGGAUACACCUUUUAGAGGAAAGAUUCAAUAAAUGCUAUAUUACUUUCUAAUUGAAAAGAAACCUUUAGAGACUUCAGCGACUAUUCCUAGAGUGUUUUAGUGUGUGUGUGUGUGUGUGUGUGUGUGAGAGAGAGAGAGAGAGAGGGUUAGGAUUUAAACCGAAAGCUUUAAACCUGAAUAAACACCCACUGAUCUCUCUGAAAUCACAUUAAACAUAUUAUUUUUAUUGUCAUAUUAUUUUUAUUGUCAUGUUAUAUUAUUUUUAUAUUUACUGUCAGGAAAGCAGUGAUGUGUAGUGGCUUGGCUCAACCACUGGAGGUCAGAAACACUCCAAAGUGCCUGAUAAGGGGUCAAAGGUUACCAAGCCUAGCAGGUAAAGUCUUUUUUUCCUAUGUUGCUUUAAUGCGAUAUGAAGUCAUGCUUCAAUUCUGUAUCCUGUGAGUAGUGAGUCGAUUGCUUGUUUUCGGAGACUUUAAAAAUCCCACGUGUCGGGUCACGUCAGGUCACGUCUCAACACCAUGCUGUGGUUGAUUACUUUCCUAUAACUGCAAGUGCUUAAGGUUGGCAAAAACUUACAGCUUGAAUUUAAUUAUAAACCAACACACUGUACACACUUUUAUGUUAUGGAAUGUUCACAAAACCAGUUAUCACUUACGUUACAGUUAUCACUACGUUACUAUAGCAACAGUACGUUAAAAGUGCAUUUAUAUUAACUUGUGAUUUGUCAUAAAACCUGCGCUACUGUACAUCCAGCUUCUGACCAAUCAAAUCUGAGCACACUGGUAUACACCAAUCAGGCAUAACAUUAUGACCACCUGCUUAAUAUUGUGUUGGUCCUGCACUGUGUAUUCUGACACCUUUCUAUCAGAACCAGCAUUAACUACUUCAGCAGUUUGAGCAACAGUAGCUCAUCUGUUGGAUCGGAUCACACGGGCCAGCCUUCUCUCCCCACGUGCAUCAAUGAGCCUUGGCCACCCAUGACCCUGUCACCGGUUCACCACUGUUCCUUCCUUGGACAACUUUUGAUAGAUACUGACCACUGCAGACCGGGAACACCCCACAAGAGCUGCAGAUUUGGAGAUGCUCUGAUCCAGUGGUCUAGACAUCACAAUUUGGCCCUUCGUCAAACUCGCUCAAAUCAUUACACUUGUUCAUUUUUCCUGCUUCUAACACAUCAACUUUAAGGACAAAAUGUUCACUUGCUGCCUAAUAUAUCCCACCCACUAACAGGGGCCAUGAUGAGGAGAUCAUCAGUGGUUAUAAUGUUAUGCUUGAUCAGUGUAAAUAUUCAGUUACUCAAUUAUUCAGUUUCUACAACACCCACAUUUUUAACUGCUGAGAAAUCUGUGAAUAAGCGAACUGGAAAUGAUACACAACGUGUUUGCUCACAACACACACACAUUUUCUUAAACUGGUGUUUCAUGGCCUGUAUUUUGCAUAUUGGAUGUCUUUGCUUUUGUUUAAUCCUGUAAUAUCUCUUGCUCUCAUUAAAAUCAUGGCAGGUUUCAGGUCUCGGUUCCUUGAAGUAACACAACCUAAACCAGUACAGCGACAGUUUCUCACUUUGACUAGGAAGUUAAUUCCACUCGAAUGAAAUGACGUGGCUUUGUGUCGCAGUUGUAACCAGGAAGACCAGUUAGGUCAAAGUUUCCUAAAGUGAUCAAAAUACAUGACUCCUAUACAUAACCACACAAAAUGGUGUAGGCUGCAAGCACGUGGGGUUGUACGGCACAGUAUUAAGAGAGUGUUGUUAUGUUAUGAAGGGUUUAGUCAUGUAUUAUAGAACAUAGUCUGCAGUGAUUGUGGGAUUUGUUUUGUUUGGUUUUUAAAUAAUAUGAAAGAGCAAUAUUCAAAGGCUGAUAAUAUAGAUUUGUGUCAGAGAUUUAGAUAGAUAGAUAGAUAGAUAGAUAGAUAGAUAGAUAGAUAGAUAGAUAGAUAGAUAGAUAGAUAGAUAGAUAGAUAGAUAGAGGGGCAGACAGACAGCUAGCUAGCUAGCUAGCUAGCUAGAUAGAUAGAUAGAUAGAUAGAUAGAUAGAUAGAUAGAUAGAUAGAUAGAUAGAUAGACGUGUUAGUGUCACACAGAGGUGUGCGGUUGUACAAUCUUAUUUCACCUGGAGUUUGAGUGAAUGUAACUCAGUGUGAGAAUUUUAUUUUUUAGCACAAAAGCUACAGCUUCAACCCCAAUCCUGUCCUGUUAGGGUCAGAGUAGCUUCCUUAUCAUUACAUAAUAAUCAUUAGUUGGUCAUACUACUACUACUACUACUACUAAUAAUAAUAAUAAUAAUAAUAAUAAUGAUAUUAAUAAUAAUAAGUAGAUGAAGUAUGACGUUAAAGGUUCAGGUUAAUUUAAAAGUAUUUUUUUUGUUUUUUUGGAGUCAGAGGAGAUCUCUGACCAAUGCGUCAUUAUAGCAAACCAGCAGGACUUCCUGUCCCCUCUUCCCAACCGUCUGAUAUAAUUAUACAGGCUAAGAUCUAUAACACGAAACCUAGAGCAAUCUGAACAUCUGUUUUCUGGCUUAUGUAGUAAUUAGAGAGCGUUAAAUACAUAUUCUCAGACACAAUACAUAGACUGUGGGUGAUGUCACCGUUUAGUCCUAAAUGUUUAAGUGUGAAAAACCUUGUGCUUUGGCUUGUGUGUGUGUGUGUGUGUGAGAGAGAGAGAGAGAGAGAGAGAGAGAGAGGGAGAGAGAGAGUGUGUGUGUGUGUGUGUGUUUGUGUCUGUGUGUCAGAGAGAGAGAGAGAGAGAGAGAGAGAGAGAGAGAGAUAGAUAGAUAGAUAGAUAGAUAGAUAGAUAGAUAGAUAGAUAGAUAGAUAGAUAGAUAGAUAGAUAGAUAGAUAGAUAGAUAGAUAGAUAGAUAAACUUUAUUGAGCCCAUGAGGGAAAUUCUUUUGUUACAGCAGCAUAGUUGGUUACUGAGAGAGACAGAGAGAGAGAGAGAGAGAGAGAGAGUCAGGUCUUGAAGGGUUUGGAAAUAAAUAGAUGCUAGUGUUGUAGAGCAGCAGAAAGAACAAUGUCUGCUAUUAAUAUAGGGGAUAUGUGUAUGGGAGAUAUGUGUAUGGGAGAUAUGUGUAU